rnacentral:rRNA from 1 species
AAUGAACGCUUGCGGCGUGCCUAACACAUGCAAGUCGUACGAGAACUCCUGUGCUUGCACAGGAUAGUAAAGUGGCGCACGGGUGAGUAACGCGUGGGUAAUCUACCCCUGGAUUCGGGAUAACACCACGAAAGAGGUGCUAAUACCGGAUAACAUCCUUUUAACUGCGGUUAUUUGGAUCAAAGGUGGCCUCUACAUGUAAGCUACUAUCUGGGGAGGAGCCCGCGUACCAUUAGCUAGUUGGUGAGGUAACGGCUCACCAAGGCUACGAUGGUUAGCUGGUCUGAGAGGAUGAUCAGCCACACUGGAACUGACACACGGUCCAGACUCCUACGGGAGGCAGCAGUGAGGAAUAUUGCGCAAUGGGGGAAACCCUGACGCAGCAACGCCGCGUGAGUGAUGAAGGCCUUUGGGUCGUAAAGCUCUGUCUGGUGGGAAGAACCAGGACUGUUCGAAUAGGGCAGUCCCCUGACCGUACCACCAAAGAAAGCACCGGCUAACUCCGUGCCAGCAGCCGCGGUAAUACGGAGGGUGCAAGCGUUAUUCGGAUUUAUUGGGCGUAAAGGGCGCGUAGGCGGCCGCUUAAGUCAGAUGUGAAAGCCCGGGGCUUAACCCCGGAAGUGCGUUUGAUACUGGGUGGCUUGAGUAUGGGAGAGGGAAGUGGAAUUCCUGGUGUAGAGGUGAAAUUCGUAGAUAUCAGAGGAACAUCGGUGGCGAAAGCGACUUCCUGGACCAAUACUGACGCUGAGCGCGAAGGCGUGGGUAGCAAACA